CUGUAGGAAGUAAGGGUACUACUAGUGAUCAUUCGGAAGAGGCGCUUCAUACAAUUAAGAUAGAACUUCACUUACAGAAUUAUGAAUCAUUAUUUAAUAUUAAUAGCAUCUAGAUAUCUUCUAGUUGAAAGAUUACAGACCUACUUGAUUUGACACUGUAACAUAGCCGUGUUUACAAAUAACAAUUCGUCAUAGAUAAUAAUUAUUUCCGAGAUCAUCAGUCAUACGUAGACAAUGAAAUCACAUAUUUUUGAAAACAUAGUUAUUUUAAAUUUCAUAAUCGCCUUUUAAUGAUAGAGUAUCUGUACUGAUAACAGUAGAAGUUUUGGAGCGGAAAAAUAUUGUUGAGAAUCAGUGCUCCGUUACAUCGAAACCGACAUUGUCUGUUGUCAUCGCAAGUCUUACCAUAAUUUAUUUUGAACUUUCUGUGACUGCUUUAAAAAUGAAAAAGUUGUGGGUUGCCUCGCUGGCAAUAUGUAUUUCAAUGAUAAUGGCCGAAAAUUCGAAUGGCACAAUAAAACAGUCAUCUGGAAAUGAGUUAAAUUGUACAACUCGAGAAUGUGUAAAGGAUAAUUUGGAAUUCGAACUGGCUUUACUUUCUAAUAUGAACACGAGCGUUGACCCCUGUGAUAAUUUUUAUGAAUUCGCUUGCGGUAAUUUUGAUAACAUCCCCGCUGAUUAUUAUUUCAAUUCUGUAAACCAUGAUUUUGGUUACCCAAUAAACUCUAUAUAUGAAAAAAUUCUUGAUUUAAUAAUGCAUGAUCAUGUGAAAUCACCCAAGCAAUUUAAUUUCAUAAGAUACUUCAUCUUCUCUUGUGAACGUUUGAACUU